GAACUGCGAUAAGUAAUGUGAAUUGCAGAAUUCAGUGAAUCAUCGAGUCUUUGAACGCACAUUGCGCCCCCUGGCAUUCCGGGGGGCAUGCCUGUCCGAGCGUCAUUGCUGCCCUUCAAGCCCGGCUUGUGUGUUGGGUCGUCGUCCCCUCCGGGAGACGGGCCCGAAAGGCAGCGGCGGCACCGCGUCCGGUCCUCGAGCGUAUGGGGCUUUGUCACCCGCUCGAUAAGGACCGGCCGGGCGCCAGCCGGCGUCUCCAACCUUUUUUUCUCAGGUUGACCUCGGAUCAGGUAGGGAUACCCGCUGAACUUAAGC
rnacentral:misc_RNA from 1 species